UUGCUGGAAGAAAAGGGAGGAUUAAAAAGUCAAAAUUCACAUCUCAAAUUUAGAAAAUGAAAAGCCUACCAAGUUUUGUUUUAUUCAUUUUGGUCAAACCUUUGAAUCUCAUGUGAUCAGUCAACACUCACAGUAGAUUUUAAUCAAAAGGGUAAUCAGUUUUUCACAACAUCUUUGUGAGUUUUAUUAAAAUCCAUCCCAUCAUGGUUAAGGAGCUAUUUUGCAAACAGACAAAGUUAACUCCACUAGAGCUUGUGUGGUGUGUAGCAAGAGGAUGACUCGAACUAUCAUGAAUGCAAAUUUUACCUCAAUAAGACAAAAUAUGAUCAUUUCUGACCUAAAGCUUAUAAUUAGCUGCUUUAUGCUAACAUGUACUAAUAAUGCUAAUAAAAGACCAAAGCUAAACACUACAUCCUUCAUUUUGAUUAAAAGGUGCAAUUUGUAAGGAUUCUACAGUGAAAUAAUCACAAAACAGUCUAAUGUCUCAGCCAUGUUUGAAGGAAGGUUAUAUUGAAACAGAUUUUAUCCUCUGCCAGCUGGAGGGGUUGGGGGUUCAGUUUUCCUCCUUUAGGAAAAGAAACUGAAAGUGGGACGUAGUUGCUGUUUACACUCUGUGUUUGCGAGGUUGCCAAAUCAGCAGCGAGCUAAUGCUUGCGCAGCAGCGCAAUCACUGUAAUUUGACUCCGGCAGUCAAAAAGCUCCAGAGCUGUUUAAAUAACUGAAGCCAGUAAACAGGAACAACAAAAAAGUUAUUUCUUAAACCCCAAAGAAGCCAGGGCAUUAUUUUGUUUUACUUUAAUAUUAGGUGGAGUAGGCUAGAGGCUAACGUUGAGCUAACAAUGCUAACAGUGAAUUAGAUGCAAAUAUACGGAUCUAAAAAUGUUUCAAGCUACUUUUUCAGUUACCAACAACUCUAUAUUACGGUGAAAUGUGUGUGCGAAGUGAGUAAUGAGUCAGUUGUGGUGUUUUACUUCCUUUAAUGAGUCGUUCAGAAUUAUAACAGCAAGCUAACGGAAACACGGCAAGCAAUCUCACUUCCUGAAAUGCGCAGUGAGAAAAGUGUAGUAAGUUCCCUACUAUCAAACACCCAAGAGUGCUAACACCAGAUUUGACAACAUAUUUAUCAGCUUACUGACUCAUUUUUGCUUGUCUUCUAGAUCCUUCUGGUGCUGAUCCGCAACAGUCAACUCACAUAACGGCAGUGACUCCACUGGGAAUUCCCAUCCAACCUGAUGUGAAGGAGUGGGAGCGGCGUUUGCUGCUUAGCCACUCCUCACUGCUGGGGUCGAGAGAGAGAGGGGAGGAGGAGGUCUCCUCUCCAGGAAAUCUGUGCGUCACCGACUGAGUCCAACUCCACUUAUCAUCACCUGAGGAGCAGCACAAGAGGAAAGCUGAGUAGAAAAUGCAACACAAGUCUUUAUGCAGCCAUGUGCGGUUUCACAAUUACGUUUUGGCGCCCUCUAGUGGUUGAUCAUAACAGCUGCUUCUUUUGUUGGCGGCAUCAGAAAUCUAGGGUAACACUUACUAGGGAGGCCUGUUUCUGAGGAUGAGAUGGUUGAAGGCUCAUUCCAGGAUUUCUGGGUUUCAGUAUUUUCCGUUUUACUCGUUGGUCUGUGUCUGGGAAACGUGCUGGUGAUGUCAUUCUGAGAGGAGCAGCGACAGCUGGCUUGAUCCUGACAUUUAAAACACACGGAGGGCUUUCUGAGGACAAAGGAAAGCGAUAAAUCAUCAUUGUGUAGAGAUUCCAUACAAAUUCUGGGUUGAUCUUACGUUUUUAGAGUCUUACAAGAACACGGGCAGGUCCUGGUCAACACGAACGCUCGAUCGUAAACUUGCAGGAUCCUUUUGGCCUUUGAAAAAUGACAAUGCGUUUUAUUAGUGGCUCAUUAAUUAGGCUGUGGCGCCAGUGAGGUGUGAUAUAACCAUGCUCACCUGUGCUUGCUUGGAUCUUCAUGAUCCAUUUUUUCAUAGUGAAGCGUGAGGAGGUGUUGAACAGAUAUUCGGACCCAUCCCGAAGCCUGAAGACCAGAAAACCCACAAUGCAUCACCUACUGCCUUUAAAUCUGUGUGAGCUAAAAGGUUAUUACGUUUUAGUACCGUAGUCGAAAGCAGUUGGGUUUUUUGGUGUAAUCUGGAGCAGGUGAACACUCAGCUCCCUUCAGGUUCAGUGGAAGGCCGUAAGCAGAACUCUGCGGCACAAACCCAGCAUUAGUCACCAGACAUUCAACUGCUCCCAGAUAACAUUCCCAGCUUCUUCCUGCUUACUCGCAGAGUGUCCUUUCUAUCCUGGAAGAAGCAUAAGGUGUGUCGGUGCAGGACGGCGUGGUAGGAGCUCCAGCCUCUGGAGGCCGCCUGUGAAAACAAGAUAAGAGCGUUGUGCAGCUGACUGGGAACUUUACGUGUGCUGACUGCAUCAGAUUCAACAUUCCUUACUUUCUUUCCUCCCAGCUGCAGCUUGUGCUUCCUCUCCAGCGUCCCCUCCAUCGACUGCAGCUCGGGUUUCCCGCUCUGAAUGGGAUUUAAAUAGAGAAACACAUAAUUCAGGAACAAGCAGGAUUCCCAAUUGGACACUGAAUUGAUUUUUGUCUCACCAGGGUGAAACAGCGCCCUCCAGUGGACAGAUGCUCUUGUGUAUUCCCUCCUUUUUCCUGCUGAAAAGACCCAUCUGAGCCCGCGUGGACGGACUGGUCGUGUUCAGGAGAGAAGAAACAUCAGAAACGUUGCAUUGAUGUCAGCUAAGAACUAUCACUUAGCACCAAGCCCAUCUGGUGUCCAGCUCCAACAUCUGGCUGCAAUUAGCCAAAGUAACAGAAGACUGCCGCGCCAGCCCCUAGAAACAAGAUUCUGCACUACUGCUAACACAAAGGAACAAGGACAAAGGCACAGCACCCCUGCUACAGAAACAACACUGAACAGAGCUCUUCGCUUCAACACAACGGGGACAAGCUGUAAAGUUUAGGAACGUUUUAUUGCUUUAAAUAAAAAAAUCCCACCGGUUCAACAUCCACCGCUCGCUCCUUUGGCCAGACUCAAGGUCUGCCAUUGGUCCUUGAGCUGGCUGAGCUGCUUCUUCACAAGGUCAGAUGUGGGGUUCAGCCUGCAGAUCAGCUGCUCGCCCAUCUGUGGAAGGACAUGGUACUGGUUACUGGAGCUGCAGCAGCAACGCUGACAACAUUAUCUUCAUGGUUUGUCCUGAAAAAGCCUAAACGCAACCCUCUGAGCUUCCGCAGGGCCUGGAUGUAGAGGGUGGUAAUCCAUGACCCGUCGUUUCAUGUUUGUCGUCACGUUUUCAGCGAUUAAUGCCUGGAUUAGAUCACCUGUGGGGACACUUAAAACAACCAUUUAUUUAGUCCUUCUAGAUGCUGAUGAUCAUUUUUUACCUGGUUGAGCUGAAUAAACGUGUUCUCAAAGUC